AUUGAACGCUGGCGGCAGGCCUAACACAUGCAAGUCGAGCGGAUGAAGCGAGCUUGCUCCUGGAUUCAGCGGCGGACGGGUGAGUAAUGCCUAGGAAUCUGCCUGGUAGUGGGGGAUAACGUCCUGAAACGGGCGCUAAUACCGCAUACGUCCUGAGGGAGAAAGUGGGGGAGCUUCGGACCUCACGCUAUCUGAUGAGCCUAGGUUGGAUUAGCUAGUUGGUGGGGUAAAGGACUACCAAGGCGGCGAUCCGUAACUGGUAUGAGAGGAUGAUCAGUCACACGGGAAGAGAGACAGGGCCCAGACUUCUACGGGAGGAAGCAGUGGGGAAUCUUGGGCGAUGGGGGAAAGCCUGAUCCAGCCAAGCCGCGUGAGUGAAGAAGGUCUUCUGAUUGGAGAACACUGUAAGUUGGGAGGAAGGACAGUAAGUUAAUCCCUUGCUGUUUUGACGUUACCAACAGAAUAAGCACCGGCUAACUUCGUG
rnacentral:rRNA from 1 species